UGCUAUACAUGCAAGUCGAGCGAAUGACGAGGAGCUUGCUCCUCUGAUUUAGCGGCGGACGGGUGAGUAACACGUGGGCAACCUGCCCUGCAGACUGGGAUAACUUCGGGAAACCGGAGCUAAUACCGGAUAAUCCAUUUUACUUCAUGGUGAAAUGUUGAAAGGCGCUUUCGCGCCACUGCAGGAUGGGCCCGCGGUGCAUUAGCUAGUUGGUGGGGUAACGGCCUACCAAGGCGACGAUGCAUAGCCGACCUGAGAGGGUGAUCGGCCACAUUGGGACUGAGACACGGCCCAAACUCCUACGGGAGGCAGCAGUAGGGAAUCUUCCACAAUGGACGAAAGUCUGAUGGAGCAACGCCGCGUGAGUGAUGAAGGUUUUCGGAUCGUAAAACUCUGUUGUAAGGGAAGAACAAGUACGUUAGGAAAUGAACGUACCUUGACGGUACCUUAUUAGAAAGCCACGGCUAACUACGUGCCAGCAGCCGCGGUAAUACGUAGGUGGCAAGCGUUUCCGGAUUUAUAGGGCGUAAAGCGCGCGCAGGUGGUUUCUUAAGUCUGAUGUGAAAUCUCGCGGCUCAACCGCGAGCGGUCAUUGGAAACUGGGGAACUUGAGUGCAGAAGAGGAUAGUGGAAUUCCAAGUGUAGCGGUGAAAUGCGUAGAGAUUUGGAGGAACACCAGUGGCGAAGGCGACUGUCUGGUCUGUAACUGACACUGAGGCGCGAAAGCGUGGGGAGCAAACAGGAUUAGAUACCCUGGUAGUCCACGCCGUAAACGAUGAGUGCUAAGUGUUAGGGGGUUUCCGCCCCUUAGUCCUGCAGCUAACGCAUUAAGCACUCCGCCUGGGGAGUACGACCGCAAGGUUGAAACUCAAAGGAAUUGACGGGGGCCCGCACAAGCGGUGGAGCAUGUGGUUUAAUUCGAAGCAACGCGAAGAACCUUACCAGGUCUUGACAUCCCAGUGACCACUCUAGAGAUAGAGUUUUCCCUUCGGGGACAUUGGUGACAGGUGGUGCAUGGUUGUCGUCAGCUCGUGUCCUGAGAUGUUGGGUUAAGUCCCGCAACGAGCGCAACCCUUGAUCUUAGUUGCCAUCAUUUAGUUGGGCACUCUAAGGUGACUGCCGGUGACCCA
rnacentral:rRNA from 1 species